GAGAGCUUAGAAAAAUGGAAUUGAUAUGGUCGAUAACAGAAGAUGUAACAACGAGACUCUGCUAAGUUAUUUUCCUAAAUUCUUACAAGUCCAGUAUGUGUUCUCUUUUUACAACUGUUUAAAUUUCUAUCAAUGAGUAUACAUGAAGCACCCGUAGGAUGCAGAACACAGAUUUCACAAUUAUUUCAAGAAAACAAUGUUUUACAAAGAGAUAUUGUUAACCUUGAGUAAACAUGAAGAUAAUAUCUUCUGAAGAGUUACACAUUCUGACAUACAACCUAAUUCAUUUUCUCAAAUAGAGAGCAGUUUGCGCAGCAAGGUUCAAAUCACUUCCUCACCCACCUGCCCCCCAAAGUUGUACUAUUCAUGAGGUCCAUCACACAGUAGGUCCUUGGCAUUCACAAAUAGCACUCUGCGAGUUCACAUUGUUUACUCAUCACCUUGAUUCUGUCACAUGACAGUCUGAAUGUGAAAUCUUUUUAUUACUGUUUCAUUUUUUCUUCUAUGUGUUCGGUGUGUGAAAGUGAUUCACUCAACUAGUAAGUCAACAUGUUAUGCACUAUUCUUGUGUUGAACUACACUACAUUAUUCAUGAGUGAAUCUCAUGAAGUUAUGCAAAUAUUGCAAAACUAAAAGAAAAUCAACUAGGACUGAUAAUGAAAUUAACAGUAAAAAUAUCAGAAUUCUUACUUAACAAAACAAGCAAUUUUGAAUGACAUUAGUCAAUUCAUAUUAUUAAAUCUCUUGAAAUGUCAUCGAAAAUUUUCAUACAUAUUUUAAUGUAUUACCUAUCAGAUUUGAUUCUAAAAGCAAUUUGGGAACUUUUAAAUAUGCUGUGGCAUAUACAUCUUGAAUGCCA
rnacentral:lncRNA from 1 species